UACGUAGGGAGCAAGCGUUGUCCGGAUUUACUGGGUGUAAAGGGUGCGUAGGCGGCUUUGCAAGUCAGAAGUGAAAUCGAUGGGCUUAACCCAUAAACUGCUUUUGAAACUGCAGGGCUUGAGUGAAGUAGAGGUAGGCGGAAUUCCCGGUGUAGCGGUGAAAUGCGUAGAGAUCGGGAGGAACACCAGUGGCGAAGGCGGCCUACUGGGCUUUAACUGACGCUGAGGCACGAAAGCGUGGGGAGCAAACAGG
rnacentral:rRNA from 1 species